AACGCACCUUGCGCCCCUUGGUAUUCCGAGGGGCAUGCCUGUUUGAGUGUCAUUAAAUCCUCAACCCCUCCGAUUCGUUUCGGUGGGGAUUGGACUUGGAGCGUGCUGGCGAAGGUCGGCUCCUCUUUAAAUGCAUCAGCGGAGAAAAUGCCUUUUGCGCCUCUGGCCGUUCAGCGUGAUAAUGAUGUUGCGCUGCGGUCGAGCUUAAGGUCCGCUUCCAAAGGUCCUCGGACAAAUAUACAUAUGACUUUUGACCUCAAAUCAGGUAGGACUACCCGCUGAACUUAA
rnacentral:misc_RNA from 4 species